AGAGUUUGAUCCUGGCUCAGGAUAAACGCUGGCGGCGUGCAUAACACAUGCAAGUCGAACGAUGAACCUUAUUAGAUUUCUUCGGAAUGAAAAUAAGUGGAUUAGUGGCGAACGGGUGAGUAACACGUGAGUAACCUGCCUUACACAAGGGGAUAGCCUUUGGAAACGAAGAAUAAUACCCUAUAAAGUUAGUCAAUCGCAUGGUAGACUAACCAAAGAUUUAUCGGUGUAAGAUGGACUUGCGUCUGAUUAGCUAGUUGGUGAGAUAAAAGCCCACCAAGGCGACGAUCAGUAGCCGGCUUGAGAGAGUGUACGGCCACAUUGGGACUGAGACACGGCCCAAACUCCUACGGGAGGCAGCAGUGGGGAAUUUUGCACAAUGGGGGAAACCCUGAUGCAGCGACGCCGCGUGAUUUAGAAGGCCUUCGGGUUGUAAAAAUCUUUUUUAUGGGAUGAAAAUGACAGUACCAUAAGAAUAAGGUCCGGCUAAAUACGUGCCAGCAGCCGCGGUAAUACGUAUGGACCGAGCGUUGUCCGGAAUCAUUGGGCGUAAAGGGUACGUAGGCGGCCUAGUAAGUUAGAAGUGAAAUAAUAUAGCUCAACUAUAUAAAGCUUUUAAAACUGUUAGGCUUGAGAGAUGAAAGGGAAAGUGGAAUUCCUAGUGUAGCGGUGAAAUGCGCAGAUAUUAGGAAGAAUACCGGUGGCGAAGGCGACUUUCUGGUCAUCAUCUGACGCUGAGGUACGAAAGCGUGGGUAGCAAACAGGAUUAGAUACCCUGGUAGUCCACGCU
rnacentral:rRNA from 1 species